rnacentral:rRNA from 1 species
UACAGAGGGUGCAAGCGUUAAUCGGAGUUACUGGGCGUAAAGGGCGCGUAGGCGGUUAUUUAAGUGAGAUGUGAAAUCCCUGGGCUUAACCUAGGAACUGCAUCUCAUACUGGAUGACUUGAGUAUUGUAGAGGGUAGUGGAAUUUCCGGUGUAGCGGUGAAAUGCGUAGAGAUCGGAAGGAACACCAGUGGCGAAGGCGGCCUUCUGGACCAGCACUGACACUCAAGCACGAAAGCGUGGGGAGCAAACAGG